UACGUAGGGUGCAAGCGUUGUCCGGAAUUAUUGGGCGUAAAGAGCUCGUAGGCGGUUCGUCGCGUCGGCUGUGAAAACCCGAGGCUCAACCUCGGGCCUGCAGUCGAUACGGGCGGACUGGAGUUCGGCAGGGGAGACUGGAAUUCCUGGUGUAGCGGUGAAAUGCGCAGAUAUCAGGAGGAACACCGGUGGCGAAGGCGGGUCUCUGGGCCGAUACUGACGCUGAGGAGCGAAAGCGUGGGUAGCAAACAGG
rnacentral:rRNA from 1 species